rnacentral:rRNA from 1 species
AUGGCACCACCAUCAUGUUCUCCCAACAUAUUUGAAGAGGUAUGCGUAGCGAGUAAUUUACCUAUUUUCAGAUUUGGUCGCAACUUCAUUAUUGAUGCAUCUAUAAGAAAUAUUCUCAUAAGUAAUUUUGAAAGACCAAUGAAGAAGGGUAAUUUACUUGUUAGCAAUAAAAUUGUUAUGGAACAUAUCGGUCAAACCAUUGCGCCAUUUAUAAAGACCGAUAAUGACUUAUUGUUACAGCCAAAGCUUUCCCCGUUGCUUUAUCUAAAGUUCAUAUCUAGUUGGAUAGCUUUGCUUAUUUCGUACUUGGCUUGCACUUGGUCUCAACUGAGACAUGUAUGUUCUAAAUAUCUUCGUUUCAGAAAUUUAAAGUCAAGGUUAAAUUCUAUUGAGAAAACCGAUGCUAAUACAAUAUCUUAUCCAAAGACAUCAGAGAUAGAGUGGAAAACACAAUGCAUAGCUGAAUGGGGAGAUUCCAAAUCUGAACCAUUCGUUUGCUUAUCUCCAAAGCCGUUGAAACAGCAAGAUCGGCUAGAAAACAAGAAGUAUACCUUCAAUUCAAGCAUGUGUGAUCAAAUAUUUGAUUUGUUGCUGAAAAAUAAUUACAUUACAAUUCUCGAUCACCAUGUUAAGCCAUCAAUCCAAGGACGAAUGUAUUGUAAGUUGCAUGAUUCGUCCAAACAUAAUUUUGAGGAUUGCAACAUGUUUUGGCAAAUAGUUAAAUCGGCCAUUGAAAAAGGACGAUUGAAGUUUGUUGAAACACUAAGAGAUGACCAGUCUAUUCCGAUUGGUCCUGAUGGUAAAAAGUUUUUGCAUCGGCUACUUCAAGCCGAUACAUUUAAAGAGAAGGUAAAAACUACAGGUGAUGGGAUCAAGCUUUCAAGUAAAGAAGUUGUUGAAGAGCAUAAUGAACAUAAUCUUGAGGGUGACAAUUCCAUCGAAGCUACAAUGGAGAUACCAAGUACUGGGGGGCAGCAAGCAAAUCCCAAGAUCAGUGCAAGCACAACCAAAGAAAACAAAGGCCGGCGUAAGCACAAAGGUAAAAAGCCGAAAGUCACUUUCGCACAACUAUUGGAAAAAUAUCAAAAGAAGAGUGAAGAGAAAAAUGCUUAUCGGUCAAAUCAUGCAAAGAAACCAAGAUCACCCCCAAGGUGCAAAUAUGAGGAUUGGUAUUGGCAAAGUGAUAAUUUUAAUGCAACAUAUUCAUAUCCUUAUUUUGGGCCGUUAAUGCCAAUGCCGUGGAUGCCUCCCGAUGCUCAUAUAGAUACAUUUACAUCAUGGGACAUGUAUGAUACAAGGGCACAUUCUACAUCUUAUUCUAGACCAUCUCACCAAUACUAUGCAGCUCAAAGAAGAUCAACAUUUGAACAAUCACGCGUCAAAGACCGUUUCAAUCAUAAGGAAUCGGUCUAG